GUCAAAAGCCCCCUGCACCUUUUAGCCCCUUUUGGGAGGAGGGGUUUGGGACCGGGAUUCUCAGGUCCGGGAUGGGUCCCCUGGGCUGGGAGCAGGGGCGGGGCCUGCAGCGCCCGCCGCCUGCGCGGGGCGGGGCCGUCGAGAGCGGUCCGGGAGGAGGCCUACCGCACGGUCGCCCCGCGGGAACCCGGCGGCGGCCCCGCCUGCGCGCUUUACCCGUCGCCCUCCCGGGCCCGUCGCGCGCGCGUCCCUUUCGCUUUUAGCCCCAGCUGCGCUGACUGCUAGCGAUUACUCAGAAUCGUCCCUCCGGUUGGCAGAGUGACAAAAAUCGGCAGUGGCUGUCCGAGGACACCUGUUUACAAACAGGACCCCCGCCCCCAGCCGAAAGCACCCCAGGCCGAGAGCCCGGAAAUCUCGGUUCUCCUCCCACUCGGCCUCUCGCUCUCAGUGGGACUGGUUUCGGGCCUCAGUUUGCCUGUUUAUGUACUUGAUGUCAAGAAUGUGUGUGCAAUCGAACGAAAGGUGUGCGAGGUGGAAACAGCCUGACAUUUCUUUUAAGUCUUCUGUUUUCAGCUAUCAUUAUUUUGAAAAUUAUAUUCUUCUCCAUCGUAAUCUAUUUUAAUAAAUAUAUUUUUAAUUAAAAAAAAAGUAUGAUUGGUCACCCAGGAAAAGUAGUUUGUUACUUAUCCUGUGGUUCGAGUCCACUUGUUUGAAAUACCAGCAGCUCUGGAAGGCCCUUUCAAUUCCUUACGAUCUGUUAAUCUGAUUCGUGUGGUUAUUUUUUUUUUUAUUCUUCUCCUUUAAGACCUUUACAGUCUCACUGGUGACCGGCGGGAUGGGAGAAGACUGGAUUUUGCAGCCAGAUAUAUUCGGUUAGAAGUUCUUGGUUUGCCACUUUUUUCGCCUAUGGGACCUCGGUCAAGCCCCUUACACUUGGUAAGCCUCAGUCUCUCGUCUAUAAAAUGGGGAGGAUACUCCCAGGAUCGCGGGGAGAAUUCAGGACGAUAUUUGUCAAGGGCCUGCCACGCGCGGGGUGACCCACGGAAGAGGGUGCAGGUGGGUGGGGACUUUCUCGUGCUGGGUUUCUCGGCUCGGCUCAUCCUGGGGGGCCCGGAGUACCGCCCCCGCGCGACGGCUGAGCGUGGCGGACUCUCGGCCUCUCCCGGCGCGGCUGAGGCGGUCGUACCGGUUCCGAACCCUUCCCCCACCGGCCGGCUUCUGGCGGCAACCUGCAGGCAGAAGGCCAGGCUUUAUUUACACAAAAGCAGCGGGUGGAAGCUGGCCUUGUAAGGACGAAAGAAACGUUGGCGGGCCGGGAACGUCGCCGGGGGAGGCAGUAAAAGCGGUUCUGAUAGGAAUCUGUGAAUAAAUAAAUAACGUGAAUCAAAGAAUGCAUUGAAAUGCCCUCCUAGGAUCACAGAAACCCGACCCUAAGGCAGCCUUCGGAAUCCUCCCACACGUCCCACCCUAUCUGAUAACUUGUCAGAGGCCCAAAUUGAUUCUGGAGUUAUUAUCAAACCAGGACGCCUGCCACCCAGAUCCUACGGUCCUAGGGUGGCCUCUGGGGCGCACCUUCCGGGCUGGGAGUGAGACCUGGGUCUGAAACAAAGGGAAAGGGAACCCCGUUUUAUGAGCACCUACUCAUGUGCUAGGCAUUGUUCCUAUGCGGUUUCACGACUCCUCACACCACGCUUUGAGCAGGAUUCCGUACUCUGGUAGGCAGGGGAAGUUGCCUGCUCCAGAACACAAAAGCCGAUAGAUGGGACUGAAUUCCAAUACAGUUCUGUCCCUGGUUCCUUCCACCCAACCUUGCUGCCCCGGGCAGGGGGCAAGGAUAAAGCGCAAAAGGCGCGUUUGCAACUACAUUGGUGCGAUGACCUAGCUGUUUCUGGGCGCCGCCCCUUCCCUCCUUUUUCUUUACCUACCUACAGGAUGUCCAAAGCCUCUUGUAGUUCUACCUAUCAGCUGAUCGCUGCUGCCGCGCCCGCUCGCCUAAUUUAGCAGCCGGAAGUCGCAAGUCCGGCGACAGCUGACCUAGAGCCCUUAGUCUUAUCAUUGUCAAAGCCAGUGUUGGCCCAGAGGACACACAGGUGCGCCCAGGGCACGUAUUUCUCCAGCCUCCGCCCUAGUCACGGGGCUGCAUCCGGUCCAGGAGCCAAGGAAACUGGUCCAGCUGCUCCUUUCCCGGCAGGGCCCCGCCCACGCCCACCCCAGCGGAGGCCCAGAACAGGUUUCUUCACUUUCCCUGGCCCAGCUCCCGCCUCGGGCGACAAAGGGAAGCCGGUUGCUCAAUGUGCCUGAGGAUCGUUCUGGUUCGCAGGCAACUCGUGGACGAGCCAUCAGUCGGGUGGCCCCAACUCAAGCCACCAGGCACUGUACACCAGCUUGUGCACCGAGGUCUACCCAGCAAACCCUUAGGGUUCCUCAGGUGACACCUGGGCCCCUUGCUCUGUGCAGGGCCAGCCAGCAUCAGGUCCCAAGGGGAAGGUAACUUCAUACCCAUUUUACAGAUGAGGAAGCUGACUUGGACAAAUUAACAGGAUGGCUCAUGUCUGCCACCGAGCUUGUGGCAUUUGUUACAGCAGCCCUGGGAAACUAAUUGGAGCAGAACCAUGCCUUUCACUGCCUGCCUACCUGCCCCAGAAUCUUCUACCCUGCCAUGCAAACAGAGAAGACUCUUGAGAGUCCCUUGAACUGCAAGGAGAUCAAGCCAGUCCAUCCUAAAGGAAAUCAACCCUAGAUAUUCAUUGGAAGGACUGAUGCUGAAACUGAAG
ensembl:lncRNA